rnacentral:rRNA from 1 species
GACGAACGCUGGCGGCGUGCCUAACACAUGCAAGUCGAACGGAAAGGCCCUGCUCUUGUUGGUUUCAUGAUUGGCGAACGGGUGAGUAACACGUGUGUAACCCCCCCUUGUCUUUCGGAUAACUUCAGGAAACUGCGGCUCAUACCGGAUAGGAGCUUCUGCUGCAUGUUGGGCGUUGGAAAGAUUCGGCGGUAGGGGCUGGACUCGCUGCUUACCAGCUUCUUUGGGGGGUAGUGGCUUACCAAGUCUUUGACGGGUAGCCGGCCUGGGAGGGUUGCCGGCCACAUUACGACUGCGGUACGGACCAGACGCCUACGGGAGGCAGCAGUGGGGAGUAUUACACAGUGGGCGGACGCCAGAUACGACAGCGCUCCGAGCGGGAUAACGGGCUUCGGAUUGUAAACAGCUUUCGCCUGUGACGAGGCGAGCGUGACGGUAAUGAGUAAAGAAGCACCGGCUAACUACGUG